rnacentral:rRNA from 1 species
UACGAAGGGGGCAAGCGUUAUCCGGAUUUACUGGGUUUAAAGGGUGCGUAGGAGGGCAGGUAAGUCAGUGGUGAAAUCCCCAAGCUUAACUUGGGAACUGCCAUUGAUACUAUCUGUCUUGAAUACCGUGGAGAUGAGCGGAAUAUGUCAUGUAGCGGUGAAAUGCUUAGAUAUGACAUAGAACACCAAUUGCGAAGGCAGCUCGUUACACGAAUAUUGACUCUGAGGCACGAAAGCGUGGGGAUCAAACAGG